GACGAACGCUGGCGGCGUGCUUAACACAUGCCAGUCGAACGGAAAGGCCCUGCUUGCAGGGUACUCGAGUGGCGAACGGGUGAGUAACACGUGGGUGAUCUGCCCUGCACUUCGGGAUAAGCCUGGGAAACUGGGUCUAUUACCGGAUAGGAGCCAUCUUGAGUGUGGUGGUGGGAAAGAUUUUUCGGUGUGGGAUGAGCUCGCGGCCUAUCAGCUUGUUGGUGGGGUAAUUGCCUACCAAGGCGGCGACUGGUAGGCGGCCUGAGAGGGUGGACGGGCAAAAUGGGAAUGGGAUAAGGGCCAGACUCCUACGGGGGGCAGCAGGGGGGAAAUUUGGACAAUGGGGGGAAGCCUGAUGCAGCGACGGCGGGUGGGGGAUGAAGGGCUUCGGGUUGGAAACCCGUUUCGCCCGGGACGAAGCUGUUUGUGACGGUAACUAGAUAAGAAGCACCGGCUAACUACGUG
rnacentral:rRNA from 1 species